UACAGAGGUCUCAAGCGUUGUUCGGAUUCAUUGGGCGUAAAGGGUGUGUAGGUGGCGCGCUAAGUCGGGUGUGAAAUUUCGGAGCUUAACUCCGAAACUGCAUUCGAUACUGGCGUGCUUGAGGACUGGAGAGGAGACUGGAAUUUACGGUGUAGCGGUGAGAUGCGUAGAUAUCGUAAGGAAGACCAGUGGCGAAGGCGGGUCUCUGGACAGUUCCUGACGCUGAGGCACGAAGGUCAGGGGAGCAAACGGG
rnacentral:rRNA from 1 species